rnacentral:tRNA from 1 species
UGGGAUGUAGCUCAGUGUUAGAGCAUUUGCCUAGCAUGGGCGAGGCCCUGGGUUCAAUCCCCAGUACCACAA